GAUGAACGCUGGCGGCGUGCCUAAUACAUGCAAGUCGAGCGAACAGAUGAGGAGCUUGCUCCUCUGACGUUAGCGGCGGACGGGUGAGUAACACGUGGAUAACCUACCUAUAAGACUGGGAUAACUUCGGGAAACCGGCGCUAAUACCGGAUAAUAUAUUGAACCGCAUGGUUCAAUAGCGAAAGACGGUUUUGCUGUCACUUAUAGAUGGAUCCGCGCCGCAUUAGCUAGUUGGUAAGGUAACGGCUUACCAAGGCGACGAUGCGUAGCCGACCUGAGAGGCUGAUCGGCCACACUGGAACUGAGACACGGUCCAGACUCCUACGGGAGGCAGCAGUAGGGAAUCUUCCGCAAUGGGCGAAAGCUUGACGGAGCAACGCCGCGUGAGUGAUGAAGGUCUUCGGAUCGUAAAACUCUGUUAUUAGGGAAGAACAAAUGUGUAAGUAACUAUGCACGUCUUGACGGUACCUAAUCAGAAAGCCACGGCUAACUACGUG
rnacentral:rRNA from 1 species